rnacentral:lncRNA from 1 species
GUAGCUGUCUUCAGACACUCCAGAAGAGGGCAUCAGAUCUCAUUAUGGAUGGUUGUGAGCCAUCAUGUGGUUGCUGGGAUUUGAACUCAAGACCUUUGGAAGAGCAGUCAGUGCUCUUACCCGCUGAGCCAUCUCACCUGCCCCUGGUUCUACUUCUUGUAACAAUGGCCAUCUUUUUUUCUCUGAAACCCUGUCUCAAUCAAUCAAUCAAUAAAGCUACACAGAGAAACCCUGUCUCAAUAAAUAAACAAACAAAUCUUGCUGAGCAGUGGUGGCACACUCGGCACGCGAGAGGCAGCGACGGUUGAAUCUCUGUGAGUUUGAGCCUGGUCUAUGGAGUAAGUUCCAAGACAGCCAGGACUACACAGAGAAACCCUAUCUAGAGAAAAAAACAAAUCUCAAAAAUUGUCAGGCUUGCAUGUGGCCUUCAUUGUUGAUAUUUACUUUGCAGACUGUAAUUUUGAGAAAACUCUUUAAGAUAGUACCUUCUGUUCUAUUUUCUGAGAGAGAGAGCAGCUUGUUUUAUAGCUUAGGCUUGUGUUAAACCUCAAGUACUGGGAUUCUAAGUAUGCCCUCUGUUAUCCAUGUAGAGCCGUAUCAAUGUGUCAUUGUGACUGUGUGUGUAUGUGAGAGAGAGAGCGCGCCAGCCAGCGUGCACGUGGACAGAAGCAGAGCAUGCUGUGUCGUCAGCAGUUCUCCCACCUUUAUGUGGGUCCCCAGGCUCCUGGCAGGCUCUGCGUGCCCUGCCUGGCUUGCAGAGGAAACACUUGCACCUCCUCACCAGCCGCCUCGAUGUUCUAUAUGGCGGCUUUCCAACUACUGUGGAGCUUAGAGUUUUAGUAAUUCUAGCAGACGGGGUCUCCUCACCUGUGUGAGGGUUGGUAAGGUUUCCUUUUUUUUAGGCAGGGUCACUACAUAGCCCUGCCUGCUUCUACCUCCUGAGUGCUGGGAUGAGAGGUGUGUUCUAACAUGCCCCACACUGACAGGUUUCCCAGUGAGGAAAGCAUGAACUUUCUCUACCUCCAUCAUCACACCUCCCCUUGCCUGGGUGGGCCUUCCCUGCCUUCUCUUCCCAAUGGCAGGCAGUUAAAGGGAAUGAAACAUUCCACCCAAAGGGUAGUAGGUGUGGGGAGUGGAGAGAUGGCUCAGCAGUAAAGUGCUUGCUGUGCAGAGGUGAGAAGCUGAAUCUGAUGCCCAGAGCCAUGAAAACCUGCGAGCUCUGGGCGGAAUUCAGUUUUUCCACAGCUAGAUUCAAGGUAGAGAUGUAGACUCCUAGACGCUCACAGGCUGCCUAGCAUGGGCUACACAGUGCAGCAGCAAACAAAGAGACAAAUGGGAGAUGAAAACUGACCCCUGGGAUUGAUUGUUCUGGGCGCCACAUGUAUACACUCCAGUGAGCACACAUAUGCACACACACAAAAGGGUGGUGGUACUCUAAAUGCAAUGGUAUUGAUACUUCAAAAUCAUACCAUGUCAUUAAGAUAUUAAAAACCUUACCCUUCAUCUUUGAAUUUAUCCAGUAUUAAAUGUCCAUCAUCAUUCAAAACUUCAUGUGCAGUACACAGACCCAAUGUUUUCAGUACUGCAAAAAUGAGAAGAAAUGAAAAUACACAAAGUAGAAUUAUUUUUAUAGGUUUAUAGGCCACAUGAGCCUUUAUACCACACCUCUGCCAGAGAUGCCCAUUAUCUUAAACGCGGGCACGAUGUUGUCCAUAAAGAAUGGAGGCGC